rnacentral:tRNA from 1 species
GGGUUGGUAUGCCUAGUGGCGAUGGCGGCGGACUGUAAAUCCGUUACAUAAGAAACAUCGGUGGUUCGACUCCACCCCAACCCA